GACGAACGCUGGCGGCGUGCUUAACACAUGCAAGUCGAACGGGCCUUGUCCCCUUUUUUUUUGGGGGUGGGGUUCGUGGGGAACGGUUGCGUAAAACGAGCGUAACCUGCCCCUCACUUCUGGAUAACCGCUUGAAAGGGUGGCUAAUACGGGGUGAUUUGGCCCGCUCUCAUGGGUGGGUUUGGGCAGCUUCUCCCGGAUUUGGUUGUUUUGGUGGGGGAUGGGGUGGCGGACUAUCAGCUUGUUGGUGGGGCGAUGGUCUGACGAGGCGUUGACGGGUAGCCGGGCUGAGAGGGUGGGCGGUCACGCGGGGACUGAGACGCGCAGCAGACUCCUGCGGGAAGCAGUAGUGGAGAAUAUUGCACGGUGGGCGGAAGGACGAUGCAGCGACGCCGCGUGAGGGAUGGAGGCCUGCGGGUUGUGAACCGCUUUCGCCGGUGAAGAAGGGCCUGCUCUUUGAGGUGAGGUUGACAGUGGCUGGUUUAAGGAAGCGCCGGCUAACUACGUG
rnacentral:rRNA from 1 species